GGGAAGAUGGCUCAGUGGUAGAGCACUUGCCUUGCAUGCAUGAGGCCCUGGGUUCGAUUUUUCAGUACCA
rfam:Dipodomys ordii contig_69725, whole genome shotgun sequence.